AGCCAGCACCUCGAGUGGUCAGGAGGUUUAUUGGGCCUAAAGCAUCCGUAGCCGGCUGCUCAAGUUUUCGGUUAAAUCUAUGCGCUUAACGUAUAGGCCGCCGAAAAUACUGGGCAGCUAGGGGAGUGGGGAGAGGUACACGGUACUCAACAGGAAGGGGUAAAACUCCUUUGAUCUAUUGAUGACCACCUGUGGCGAAGGCGGUGUACCAGAACACGUUCGACGGUGAGGGAUGAAAGCGUGGGGGAG
rnacentral:rRNA from 1 species